UACGAAGGGAGCUAGCGUUGUUCGGAAUUACUGGGCGUAAAGCGCACGUAGGCGGGCUAUUAAGUCAGGGGUGAAAUCCCGAGGCUCAACCUCGGAACUGCCUUUGAUACUGAUAGUCUUGAGAUCGGGAGAGGUGAGUGGAAUUCCUAGUGUAGAGGUGAAAUUCGUAGAUAUUAGGAAGAACACCAGUGGCGAAGGCGGCUCACUGGCCCGAUACUGACGCUGAGGUGCGAAAGCGUGGGGAGCAAACAGG
rnacentral:rRNA from 1 species